rnacentral:lncRNA from 1 species
CAGGAAGCUCAGACACAUUUUGCUGUGUCAGAGGACUACAUCUUGCUUGGUCUGUCAUGGCUACCAAAGCAGGGUACUGGGUUUCACUAUGUAGUUCUGAGUGUCUUGGAACUCAUUAUGUAGACCAGACUGGCCUUGAAAUCACAGACAUAUGUCUGCUUCUGCCUCCUGAGUGCUGGGGUUAAAGUGUUCUGCCUGCAGGUCAUAAGAGGGCACCAGAUAUCAUUAUAGAUCGUUGGGAACCACCAUGGGGAAUUGAACGCAGAACCUCUGGAAGAAGAGCUCGUCCUCUCAACCUCUGAGCCACCUCUCCAUCCCAGCUUUCCUUUUCUUAAGAUUUAUUUUGUUUUAAAAUUGUGUGUGUGUGUGUGUGUGUGUGUGUGUGUGUGUGUGCCCGUGCGCGCGCGUGCGCGCGCACGCGCGCGCAUGCAUCCAUAUGUGAGUUUGUGCAUGUGUGAGUGGGAAUGUCCUUGGAGAAGAAGCAACUGGGUCCCCUGGAGCUGUAGUUACAGGUGGUUGUGAGUGUGGCGGGUGCUAGGAAUUGAACUGGGUUCUCUUCGAGAGAAAUAUGUGCUCUUCUCCACUGAGCCACUGAGCUCCAGAUGAGCUACAGCUCAUCUCUGUAGCUCCAAUUGCCUUCUUAAACACCUUUCUGUCUUUCUGAUUUCUACUAGGAAUAGAAGCAACACAAGGCCCAUCCCAGAAGUUGAGUAGAUAUCAGCUUCAUUCAAGUGUCAGAGCUGUCAGCCAAAAUAAAGACCUCUUCUUUAGACACUACUCAGCCUUGGGGAAUCUAUUACAGCAAUAAAAAGCAGUGUUUGGAAUUUUACUGAGUUAUCAGCCGCCCGGAACAACCACCCCCAGGGAACUCCUGCACUCCUUUAUUUGUUGCUGCUGUGCUACCCAAGUCUUGAGUAUGAAUAAAAACAUUAGAUGAUGUCAUCACAUCACAUUUACAUACCCAUGCACACCACAUUAAAAUUACAUAAUUUGUAUAUGUAAAUACAGUUUUGAUUAUGGCUGCAUAAUUGAAUGUCUAUGUUGUGGAACACUGUUCUCCAGGUAUGACAUGACCUUUAUCCUCUUGAAAUCAGAGUAGCCAUUACUACCCAUGGGAGACC